ACGUUUUUUUUCUUUUUAUCAUUUUUAUUUUAAUAUUAUUUCUGCUUGGAGAAUGAAUGUACCGCUGAAGUGGAAUCGUCAGGUACACUUUCUAAUUGUUUUUGUCUUGUUCGCGAUUCUGGUAUUGAAUUGCCAGAAAUUGUGUUGGGGUGGUCAUUUCAAAUAAAUAUAUCAUUUCCCGCUCCUCAAGUAUAGGCAACCAAUAUAACAUCUUUUCUCGUCAAAUUGUCAAGUCGCAAAAACUUGUUUUGAAUCCCAUCUGUGAAAUAUAGAUACAUCAAUUGGAACUCAUUUUUCCGUAUUUCUCGAGUGUAGAGCAUCUCAGCUAAUCCGAAUAAAGAUUUUCUGUCUUCGACCAUUUGAGUUGGAUUAUUUGGAAAAUUGCAGAUAAUAUCAUAAUUUUGCUGAUUAUUUUGGAUAUUUAUAUCACGUUUUGGAAUCAAGCAGAAUUUCCGUCUUGUACGGGAUAAAAAUUCUACAUACUCUGAUAGAAAUUUCUAUAAAAGCCGCCCUCCAUCUUAGGCUUUCAAUUCUUUCAAUUCUUCUGAAUAUUUUACUGAUUCGAUAUAUAAGUGGAUCAACCUGAAUUAUUGGCGUGUUGGUUGAUGCAAAGACAUCCCUUGGACAUAGGCACCCCCAUUGCCUUAUACUGAGGGUUGGAAUAACUUCUAACCGGUUGGGAGCGAACCGAAUUCAACAUUUCCA